AUGAAGUGUGUGACUUCGGUCAGAUUCUCGGUGAAGGUAAACGGGGAGCUACUUCCAGUUUUCCAUCCCUCGAGAGGACUUACGCAGGGGGAUCCAGCGUCACCCUUCCUUUUUUUGUUGUGUGCGGAAGGACUAACAUCUUUGCUGAACAACUAUGGCUCUUUUAUUGACAGGGGAGUGAGAGCCUCGGUUAGAUCACCUUGGAUCAACCAUCUCCUCUUUGCCGACAAUUGUCUCAUUUUUAUCAGUGCGAAGGGAGAAAGUGGGGACCGACUGAAUGAGAUACUAAACAUAUAUGCUAUGUGCUCGGGGCAAAGUGUUAACAAAGAUAAGGGUGCAGUCUAUUUUACUCCGAACACUCCGGAGGUAAGGAGGCAACAAAUGAAACAUCGCCUUGGCAUCUUUGUUGAAGCUUUCAGCGACAGGUACCUUGGUUUACCAACGGCCGUCGGCAGGACUACCAGUGGCACGUUCGAGCACAUUUGUGAUCGGGCGAGAAGCAAGAUGAUG
rnacentral:rRNA from 1 species